rnacentral:rRNA from 1 species
AAGGACAUGUGGAGCGCUUAGAAGUGAGAAUGCCGGUGUGAGUAGCGAAAGACGGGUGAGAAUCCCGUCCACCGAUUGACUAAGGUUUCCAGAGGAAGGCUCGUCCGCUCUGGGUUAGUCGGGUCCUAAGCUGAGGCCGACAGGCGUAGGCGAUGGAUAACAGGUUGAUAUUCCUGUACCACCAAUAUUCGUUUUAAGCGAUGGGGGGACGCAGUAGGAUAGGCGAAGCGUGCUGUUGGAGUGCACGUCCAAGCAGUGAGAUUGAGUGUUAGGCAAAUCCGGCACUCAUUAAGAUUGAGCUGUGAUGGGGAGAGGAAAUUGUUUCCUCGAGUCGUUGAUUUCACACUGCCGAGAAAAGCCUCUAGCUAGAAUAUCGGUGCCCGUACCGCAAACCGACACAGGUAGUCAAGAUGAGAAUUCUAAGGUGAGCGAGCGAACUCUCGUUAAGGAACUCGGCAAAAUGACCCCGUAACUUCGGGAGAAGGGGUGCUCUUUGGGGUUCACGCUCUGAAGAGCCGCAGUGAAUAGGCCCAAGCGACUGUUUAUCAAAAACACAGGUCUCUGCUAAACCGUAAGGUGACGUAUAGGGGCUGACGCCUGCCCGGUGCUGGAAGGUUAAGAGGAGUGGUUAGCGCAAGCGAAGCUACGAAUCGAAGCCCCAGUAAACGGCGGCCGUAACUAUAACGGUCCUAAGGUAGCGAAAUUCCUUGUCGGGUAAGUUCCGACCCGCACGAAAGGCGUAACGAUUUGGGCACUGUCUCAACGAGAGACUCGGUGAAAUCAUAGUACCGGUGAAGAUGCCGGUUACCCGCGACAGGACGGAAAGACCCCGUGGAGCUUUACUGUAGCCUGAUAUUGAAAUUCGGUACAGUUUGUACAGGAUAGGUAGGAGCCUUAGAAGCGUGAGCGCUAGCUUACGUGGAGGCACUGGUGGGAUACUACCCUAAUUGUAUUGGAUUUCUAACCCGCAGCACUUAUCGUGCUGGGAGACAGUGUCAGGCGGGCAGUUUGACUGGGGCGGUCGCCUCCUAAAGUGUAACGGAGGCGCUCAAAGGUUCCCUCAGAAUGGUUGGAAAUCAUUCAUAGAGUGUAAAGGCAUAAGGGAGCUUGACUGCGAGACCUACAAGUCGAGCAGGGUCGAAAGACGGACUUAGUGAUCCGGUGGUUCCGCAUGGAAGGGCCAUCGCUCAACGGAUAAAAGCUACCCCGGGGAUAACAGGCUUAUCUCCCCCAAGAGUUCACAUCGACGGGGAGGUUUGGCACCUCGAUGUCGGCUCAUCGCAUCCUGGGGCUGUAGUCGGUCCCAAGGGUUGGGCUGUUCGCCCAUUAAAGCGGUACGCGAGCUGGGUUCAGAACGUCGUGAGACAGUUCGGUCCCUAUCCGUCGUGGGCGUAGGAAAUUUGAGAGGAGCUGUCCUUAGUACGAGAGGACCGGGAUGGACAUACCUCUGGUGUACCAGUUGUCGUGCCAACGGCAUAGCUGGGUAGCUAUGUAUGGACGGGAUAAGUGCUGAAAGCAUCUAAGCAUGAAGCCCCCCUCGAGAUGAGAUUUCCCAACUUCGGUUAUAAGAUCCCUCGAAGAUGACGAGGUAAAUAGGUUCGAGGUGGAAGCGUAGUGAUACGUGGAGCUGACGAAUACUAAUCGAUCGAAGACUUAAUCAAAUU